CAUGUUUUCUCAUUGACAUUUUUUUAAAACACAGUAAAUGAAAAGUUUGUUUUAAAAUCAUUUCUUCAUUUUAAAACACUUUUUUAUAGCUAAUAAGUAAUGUAACUUAUUAAUCUACCGGCGAUCCGAAAUAAAGGGAACCCACUAAAACAAAAGGUUUCGUGGUCAUGGAAGACUAAGGUGUUGCUCGUCGACGUUUGAAGAUUUUGCUAACUACCGUCUAUAUUUCUAAAAAGUUUAGAUUCUAAUCUUAGAAUCAAUUAAAAACAAAAGCUUAGAA